rnacentral:rRNA from 1 species
GACGAACGCUGGCGGCGUGCUUAACACAUGCAAGUCGAACGAUGAAGCCUUAGCUUGCUUUGGUGGAUUAGUGGCGAACGGGUGAGUAACACGUGAGCAACGUGCCCAGGACUCUGGAAUAACCGCGGGAAACCGUGGCUAAUACCGGAUGGGUGCCGAGGCCGCAUGGUCUUCGGUUGGAAAGUUUUUGCGGUUCUGGAUCGGCUCACGGCCUAUCAGCUUGUUGGUGGGGUAAUGGCCUACCAAGGCGACGACGGGUAGCCGGCCUGAGAGGGUGACCGGCCACACUGGGACUGAGACACGGCCCAGACUCCUACGGGAGGCAGCAGUGGGGAAUAUUGCACAAUGGGCGCAAGCCUGAUGCAGCAACGCCGCGUGGGGGAUGACGGCCUUCGGGUUGUAAACCUCUUUUAGUAGGGAAGAAGCGCAAGUGACGGUACCUGCAGAAAAAGCACCGGCUAACUACGUG